UACGUAGGUCCCGAGCGUUGUCCGGAUUUAUUGGGCGUAAAGCGAGCGCAGGUGGUUUAUUAAGUCUGGUGUAAAAGGCAGUGGCUCAACCAUUGUAUGCAUUGGAAACUGGUAGACUUGAGUGCAGGAGAGGAGAGUGGAAUUCUAUGUGUAGUGGUGAAAUGCGUAGAUAUAUGGAGGAACACCGGUGGCGAAAGCGGCUCUCUGGCCUGUAACUGACACUGAGGCUCGAAAGCGUGGGGAGCAAACAGG
rnacentral:rRNA from 1 species